AGGGCUUAUGGUGGAUGCCUUGGUGCCAGGAGGCGAUGAAGGACGUAGCAAGCUGCGAUAAGCCACGGUCAGCCGCAAGCAGGCGUUAUCAGCCGUGGAUCUCCGAAUGGGACAACCCAACCGGUCUAACAGCCGGUUAUCAUUGGAUGAAUGCAUAGUCCAAUGAGGCAACACGCGGUGAAGUGAAACAUCUCAGUAACCGCAGGAAAAGAAAACGAAGUGAUUCCGUCAGUAGUGGCGAGCGAAAGCGGAACAGCCUAAACCGGGAGGACUUGUCUUCCCGGGGUUGCGGGACCUCGAUGUGGGAGUGGGAGAGUUAGCAGAACGAUCUGGAAAGUUCGGCCAUAGACCGUGACAGCCGGGUAUGCGAAAACUCGAACACCCCUAGGGGUAUCCCAAGUAAUGCGGUGCACGUGAAACUCUGCAUGAAUCCGUCCCGACCACGGGAUAAGGCUAAAUACUACCUGGCAACCGAUAGUGAACAAGUACCGUGAGGGAAAGGUGAAAAGAACCCCUGCUAGGGGAGUGAAAGAGUACCUGAAACCAUAUGCCUACAAUGUGUCGGAGUCCCGCUUCGGCGGGAUGACGGCUUGCCUUUUGCAUAAUGAGUCUGCGAGUUAUUGUCAGUGGCGAGCCUAAGGUGUUAUGCACCGGAGGCGAAGGGAAACCGAGUGCCAAUAGCGCGACCAAGUCGCUGGCAAUAGACCCGAAGCGGAGGUGAUCUACUCUUGAGCAGGUUGAAGCCCAGGUAACACUGGGUGGAGGACCGAACUCGUGAAUGUUGAAAAAUUCUGAGAUGACUUGAGAGUAGGAGCGAAAGACUAAUCAAACCCCGUGAUAGCUGGUUCUCUCCGAAAUCGCUUGAGGGCGAGUCUUAUGGAAGUACCCGGCGGAGGUAGAGCACUGAAUGGCUUAGGGGCCCCACCAGGCUGCCAAAACCAAUCAAACUCCGAAUGCCGCCGGUCUCAGUAUCAUAGGAGUUAGGCCGUAGGUGAUAAGAUUUACGGCCGAGAGGGCAACAGCCCAGACCAUCAGCUAAGGUGCCCAAAUGUGGUUAAGUGGAAAGGAUGUGACGUUGCUUAGACAGUGAGGAUGUUGGCUUAGAGGCAGCCAUCAUUUAAACAGUGCGUAAUAGCUGACUCAUCGAGCGAUGUCGCGCCGAAAAUGAUUGGCGAUUAAACCACAUACCGAAGCUAUGGAUUCGUUUCCGGUUCGCCGGAGACGAGUGGUAGGAGAGCGUAAUCAAUGCUGCGAAGCAGAACGGAAACGGACUGUGGAGCGUUGAUUAGUGAGAAUGCAGACACGAGUAGCGAUAAACCAGAUGAGAAUUCUGGUCGCCGUAAACCCAAGGUUUCCUGGGCCAGGUUCGUCCUCCCAGGGUUAGCCGGGAGCUAAGACAAGGCCGUAAGGCGUAGUCGAUGCACAGCAGGUUAAAUAUUCCUGCGCCGGCCGGGGUUAAGGCUGCGGAUGACGCAUGGGAACACAUCAACUAGACAAUCGAAUGUCGAGCCUAGCCUUCGGGCGAAGCGCAUUGGUGGGUUCCUGUGCCGAGAAAAGUCUGCAGUUGUUCCCCCGGUCGCCCGUACCGUAAACCGACACAGGUGGGUGAGUGUAAAUGCACUCAGGCGCGCGAGAGAGACCUCUCUAAGGAACUCGGCACAUUAGCCCCGUAACUUCGGGAGAAGGGGUGCCUGAAACCGCUGCAGCGAUGUGGCGGCGUAAGGUCUCAGUAAAUUGCGUUUAGCGACUGUUUAACAAAAACACAGCACUCUGCCAAGUCGUCAAGACGACGUAUAGGGUGUGACACGUGACCAAUGCGGAAAGAUUAAACUAUGGGGUCAGCCGCAAGGCGAAGCUCCGUAGCCAAGUCCCCGUGAAUGUCGGCCGUAACUAUAACGGUCCUAAGGUAGCGAAAUUCCUUGUCGGGUAAGUUCCGACCUGCANNNNNGUAACUAUAACGGUCCUAAGGUAGCGAAAUUCCUUGUCGGGUAAGUUCCGACCUGCACGAAUCGUGUAACGACUGAACGACUGUCUCGGAGAGGAUCUCGGCGAAACUGUAAUGGCGGUGAAGAUGCCGCCUGCCCGCAGUAGGACGGAAAGACCCUAUGCACCUUUACUGUAAGCUCGUAUUGUGUUCUGGUUAAUUAUGCGUAGCGUAGGUGGGAGACUUUGAAGCGGGGGCUUCGGUUCCCGUGGAGUCGCAAUGUGAAACACCACUCUUAGCUAACUAGGAUUCUAACCCCAUGCUGUCAGCCAGCUGGGGGACAGUGCGUGCGGGUCAGUUUGACUGGGGCGGUUUCCUCCCAAAGAGUAACGGAGGAGCGCGAAGCUUGGCUCAGCACGGUUGGCAACCGUGCGUCGAGCGUAUGGGUAGAAGCCAGGUUAACUGUGAGACCCACAAGUCGAGCAGGUGCGAAAGCAGGCCCAAAUGAUCCGACGGUUUAAUGUGGAAUUGCCGUCGCUCAUCGGACAAAAGGUACGCUAGGGAUAACAGGCUGAUCGAGUCCAAGAGUUCAUAUCGACGACUCGGUUUGGCACCUCGAUGUCGGCUCAUCGCAUCCUGGGGCUGGAGAAGGUCCCAAGGGUCCGGCUGUUCGCCGGUUAAAGCGGUACGCGAGCUGGGUUCAGAACGUCGUGAGACAGUUCGGUCCUUAUCCACUGUGGGCGGAGGAAACUUGAGGGGUUCUAACCCUAGUACGAGAGGACCGGGUUAGACGCACUUCUGGUGUGGCAGUUGUUCCGUCAGGGGCACCGCUGCGUAGCCAUGUGCGGAAGAGAUAAGCGCUGAAAGCAUCUAAGUGCCAAGCUCCUCCCAAGAUAAGGUUUCCCCGGACCGCAAGGUCCCUGAAGACCACGGGCAGACUACCCGUUUGAUAGGCUGGACGUGUAAGAGCUGUGAGGCUUUUAGCCGACCAGUACUAAUCGGUCGUGAGGCUUGAUC
rnacentral:rRNA from 1 species